rnacentral:rRNA from 1 species
UCACUUGUUCUUUAAAUGAGGACUAGAAUCAACGGCAUCACGAGGAUCCCACUGUCUCCCCCCUCCAAUCAGUGAAACUGAUCUCUCCGUGAAGAAGCGGGGAUACAAAUAUAAGACGAGAAGACCCCAUGGAGCUUUAAACCCAACAGCACCCGUUUAUUUUCAUCCUCACAUAAGUUAGGUUAUGCCUGUUUGGUUUUAGGUUGGGGUGACCACGGAGUAUAAAACAACCUCCAUGAAAAAAGGACCAAAAAUCCUUAUUAGAGAAAGACAUUUCUAAAAUUAAUAAAUUAAUUUUUAAUGAUCCGAUAUUCGAUCAACGAACCAAGUUACCCUGGGGAUAACAGCGCAAUCCACUUCAAGAGCUCCUAUCGACAAGUGGGUUUACGACCUCGAUGUUGGAUCAGGGUAUCCUA